CACCCGAUAUGCGAGGCUACGGUGACUCGGACUGCCUCGAGAAUCCAUCCUCUUUCACACUUCUCCAUCUUGUUGGAGAUUUAGUUGGGCUUUCUAGAUGAGCUAGGCGGAAAACAGUUGCAAAUCGAUUUCAUUUUAUUUUGUUCUUAUCUUCUCUUUUUUCUUUCUUUCUUUCUUUGCAUGGAAAUCAUGAUUGAAUCGAACAAUACGGAAAACACCCAUAUGCUCAUGGAACAUGGAAAAAGGAAAAAAAAUGUGAAUAUAAACUUGGAAUUCUUUUUUUCUGAUGUUGCCAAAAAUAUUCCAUUUUGCACUAAUGCUACAAACAAAACAAUGUGGUCUUUCUGGACAAGCAAUUGUGGUGGGACAUGAUUGGGGUGCACAAGUUGCAUUGGCAGCACCUUUGCCUCUUCAGGCCAGAUAGAGUUAAAGCCCUGGUUAAUCUAAGCGUACCUUACUGGCCACGCUCACCAAUAUCAAACCCAUUAAGGCCAUCACCGAAAUAUUUGGAGAAGGUUUCUAUACCUCCCAGUUCCAUGAAAGGGUACCAGAAAAAAUUAGUUCUAGUGAGCAGCUGGAUCUUCUAACUUGUAACAGUAAUAAUCUGCCAUUAUAGACAGGAGUGUUUGUUUGUUUGUAUUGUUGGAGCCAGGAAGAGAAGAAAAAUCAUUUUUCAAAAUACGACUCUUUGACAAUACUGAAGAAGUUUUUGUUCAUCAACGCCCCUGAUCAUCUUCUAGCUGAUCCCCCUGGUGUUGAAAUUAUAGAUUUUCUUGAGACCCCACCUUCCUUGCCUCAGUGGAUAACCCAGGGAGAACCUUGAAUUCCACGCAAGCAAAUUCCAAAAAUCUGGUUUUACCGCUGCCUUGAACUACUAUAAUGCCAUGGACAUGUAAGAUAAUACAGAAUAAUGACAUCUUUCUCUUUCUUAGAAGCAACAGUCAGUUGACUGCAUUUCUAUAUUUAUUGUCCUUGGAAUGAACGUAGGAACUGGGAGCUUCUUGGACCAUGGCAAGGAGCGAGAAUUACCAUAACUACAAAAUUCAUAACUGGUGGGUUUCACUUAUCUGGAACAAAAGACUAUUAUGUUGAAGGAGAAGAAUUUAGGAGCCUUGUGACUUACCUUGAAGUUGUUGUCAUCGAUGGACACCAUUUUAUCCAGCAGGAAAAGCUGAACAAGUUAUCUCUGAAAUCCUAUCCCUUUUCAGCAAGGAAAUCUCGUGUGUGACCAAUAAUUCAUAAUUUCCUAUAACUAUUAAGUUUCAGCAUCGUGAAUUUUUCUACUCUCGCUUGUUCAAACUACCGUUCAAUUUAAUAUAUGAAUGGACUAAUUAUUUCCAAUUUUCCAUAUUUUCUUUUUUCCUGCUAUAAGCAUAGCUCAUAAUGGGAAAAAAAAAUGGAUUCUCUGGUUGCUAUAGCAUUACAGCAGCUGGCCU
rnacentral:lncRNA from 1 species